rnacentral:lncRNA from 1 species
UGUCAUUCUCGCACUUUCUGUGAGAGCCUAGCUUGGGCAGAAAUAAAAAUGCCACUCUGAAUUUAAAUAAUCUGUCCUUCUGGGAAAGUCUUCGCGGCGACAGGGCUGUUAACAUGGAAAGUAAAAAGUAAACAAUGUAUUUCAGCAAUCAGUGUUCUGAGUGGGCUGCGGGACUCAGACAGCCUGCGGACAACUCCUGGGAGGAAGGGCCCUCUUAUGAUCUGCCAGGCGAGAGGAACAUGGAUUGACAGAACUUCUGCAGGCGCAUGCGGUCGGGAAAAAUCUUAUGGGAGUAAGGAUUGCAAGGACCAAGCUUCAGUGAGGCGGUGCAUGAAGCAGAAGGAAUCGCUUUAUGUGUGGAAGUCUACGGGCAGAACAGAAUGGGACCAGAGAGGAUCGUUUGAAUUGGCCCAUCCAGAGCCGGGUAGAUGGAGAUCUUAAGUCUCCCUUUGUUUUUGUGUUUUGUUUUGUUUCUGGUUCGGGACAUUGCUGCCACUUUAGCGUAGACGUCGACAGCUAAGACGCCCAUCGCUAGGGGGCGCAAGAGCCCUUCAUGAAAGUGCCUCGCAGCCACCAUGACCCAGACACAGGUCUCUGCUGAGGCUCACUCCUCAAGGGUGUCACCAGAUGUUGAGACAGGAUCUUACUCCUCCAAAAAGCCAGAGUCCUGAAAACUGAGGACAGACUUGUAGAAAGAUUGUCACUCCCUUCCCUAUUUCUUGUGAGCCGUGCUGCUCGGACCACUCAACGUCUCCCUCUAUGUGCUUUGCAGAAUUGCGUUUCAGCGAUGGAGAAUAAUGCUUAAAUCUCAAGCCUGACCUUGGAGAUAAUGUCACAGCUGAAGUGAGACUUUGAAACCUGCUUGCUCAUAACCUUUUGUCAAUAAGUUGGAGAUGAAAGACUCUCCUUCCCUGUGAUAUCCUCAACUGUCAAAAUCACCUGGCUUAUCAAUGGACCAGCAUGGCUUUCCCCCUAAGAAUUUACUGCGCGCUGCGGACUGGAGCUGCAGGCGGAGCUCACUUGUCUUCAGGACAGUGUGAUGGCGUUACCUGUGGAAGGGACCGAGCAUGUCAUGAAUCGGCGCCUUCAGGCUUCCUCUUCUGGACUCCCUGUAUUCCAAAGAGCACCUUACACAGAUAGCUGAUUGGCUGUCUACCUGGUAAGAGAAAUGGCUGCUUCUGGGAUCAGCAGAGACAAAAGAAAAGGCCGUGAACAGGGAGAGGAGUGGGCAUGGUUAGGGCUUUGAAGGCAGGCUAAUCUCUCUAGGUUUCCUUUAAGUGCUUGUGGGGGCGAGUCACGUGACUAGUAGGCACCUUGCAGUGAAUGUAAAUACCGAUGCACUUUUCAUUUCACCGUGGGAGCGAGUGGCAUGUUUGGUACCCAGUUCAUUAUCUAAAGUUCACGUCCACUAUUGUUCUCCGAGCUUGCUCGGGACAAGGAAAGCGCUGUAAAGGGAAAGGGUUGGGCUAAGCUCUGCUUUACUGAGUGCCUGGGAGCACACUGAACUCUGAUCUGAGAAGAAACCAGUCUCUUUGCCAAGCGGGAUGACCUGACUCCAGUAGCAUCCACGCUGCCAUAUCAAGUUGAGGUUGUCACUGUAAAAGCAAGCAUGGGGAAGUCUGCCUUUUCAUACCAAAAUCAAAGCCCUGGUCUGUCAGCCUGGAAUUGCUGAACAAAGCAAACCCUAAUCAGUAGGUCUAUAUGUAGAUUUAGACAUCUCCAGGAGGCUGAGAACCUAUCGGGCCCAAACUGAUUAUUCUAAUCAAGUGUUUUAAUUAAGCACACUCAAUGCCAACAUCACAGGAAUGAGACCCG